UACGAAGGGGGCUAGCGUUGCUCGGAAUCACUGGGCGUAAAGCGCACGUAGGCGGCUUUCUAAGUCGGGGGUGAAAUCCCGGAGCUCAACUCCGGAACUGCCCUCGAUACUGGAAAGCUUGAGUCCGGGAGAGGUGAGUGGAACUGCGAGUGUAGAGGUGAAAUUCGUAGAUAUUCGCAAGAACACCAGUGGCGAAGGCGGCUCACUGGCCCGGUACUGACGCUGAGGUGCGAAAGCGUGGGGAGCAAACAGG
rnacentral:rRNA from 1 species